rnacentral:lncRNA from 1 species
CACAGGGAGACAGCGCUUUACGCCCGCCGCAGGGAGACAGCGCUUUACGCCCGCCGCAGGGAGACACCGCUUUACGCCCGCCGCAGGGAGACAGCGCUUUACGCCCGCCGCUGGGAGACACCGCUUUACGCCCGCCGCAGGGAGACAGCGCUUUACGCCCGCCGCUGGGAGACACCGCUUUACGCCCGCCGCAGGGAGACAGCGCUUUACGCCCGCCGCUGGGAGACACCGCUUUACGCCCGCCGCAGGGAGACAGCGCUUUACGCCCGCCGCUGGGAGACACCGCUUUACGCCCACCGGAUGCGCCUGCCGCAGGGUGACACCGCUUUACGCCCGCCACAGGGAGACGCCGCUUUACACCCACCGGAUACGCCCUCCGCAGGGAGACAGCGGUUUACACCCACGGGAUACGGCCGCCGCAGGGAGAUACCACUUUACACCCAGCAGAAUGGAAAAAAUCUCCACCUGGAAGCACAAUAUUAAAGAAUAGAAGAGUGCUAUGUUUGCACCAUCACUACUUAAAGCAAAGCUCUACACGGUGCUGCGUUUUUCUCCAUUUGCAUUGGGUGAGUGGAUCUUUAUAAAUUCUUUAUAGCUUCUGAUCAACCAGACAUCACACAUUUCUAGAAAGUUGUCACAGCUUAAAUGAUCUAUACAGGAGGUAGGUCCAGAAACACAUCAAGGCAAUGUGCCAUCCCAACUGUGAUCAAAGGUUAAUUCCAUGGCUAUGAACAUAAACAGACCUGGAUUUGGGUUCUAUUUUAACAAAUAGGUAGGAUUGCGACUUUGAGAAAGGAUCUGUUUCUGUCUGAUCCCUUUUCAUUCAUUUCACUUCCCAAACUUGUGGGGCUUAAAGGCAAUCUCUACACCCAUGGGCUAAUAUAAAAUUAAGUCCAGAGAAAACAGCUAGCUUCAAUUUGGGGAUACGGCUACACACUUUUAGCAGUUAGGGGCUUCCUAGACAUUCGGAGUGGGUAUCGUUCAAGAAAAAAUUUAUAGAGGAGAAAAUAGUUUCAGACCAUAAAUUUAUAGGACCUGUUUUACAAGGAAAAAAUCAGAGUGUGGCUUAAUGCUAUUUUGGAAAUAGCAGGUUGGUAUAAUAUCACUGGCAGCAUUGUUGCUUAUGAAAGUCAUGAUUCGUAAAAUAAUAUCAUCGUGAAGCAAACAAAGGGACUUGGUAGGAACAUUAAACUAAACUAACACCAAAAACAUACGGAACAAAAAACCCCAAACUGCGUCCUAACCCAUGGAAAAUUGUUAAAAAAAUUUAAGUAAAAUUAUCGAUCAAAACUUCGUUUUAUAAAAUAAAAGCAUAGUUGUUUCAUUUCGUUUUUCUUCAGUUGGUGUAUAUGUCACUAUUUCUUCAUGUUUCAUUACUAUAGAUUUUGAGUUGCAAGAUUAAAUACAGGAUUGUUUUAUGUAUUUUAAGUCAAAGAUCAAUUGUGAUUUCAGAACCAGGACAUAAAGUCAUAAUUUGGAAUAACUUAUUCUUAAAUCCAUUAUCCAUUUAGCCAUGCAACAAAUAUUUAUGGGCUUACUCUAUGGCAGUCCUUACUUUAAUUGCCAGGGAUCCAGUAAUGAAUUAAAUAGACAAAGUCUCUGCAUUCAGUGCGAGAGGAGAGAAGCAAUGAACAAACGUAUCCUAAAUGACCCAUAGGAUAAUAAGAGCUAUAAGGAAAAUAAACCAGUUCAGAAGUACAGCUUCAGGGAAAGGGAACAUCUCUUCACUAUAAUUGUUAAAAAUAAUCUGAUAGUAAAACUUAACUAUUUUGCAGAACAUACUCUGUUUCUUUCUUGAAUCUUAGCUAUGACAAUUAGAAUAUAUGAGUCAUUUAGGAUUAGAAUCAGCUGUUGUAUUAGUCCUUUUUCACACUGCUGUAAAGAAAUACCCAAGACUGAGUAAUUUAUAAGUGAAGGAGGUUUAAUUGACUCACACUUCCCCAGGGCUGGGGAGG